CGUACGGUUUAUAUCCAACAUUUGGUCGUUUGUUUUAUUUAAAAAAUUUUAAUGAUUAGUAUUUUUAUUGUUUAGUGAUAAACCAUGAAUAGUACUUUAUAUGUGACUAUUUUUUUAAAAAAAUUCUUCAUAUUUUUUUAAAUAAGAUAGACGGUCAAAUUUCGGAUACAGAAGCCCACAACUGUAUUUAAA
rnacentral:pre_miRNA from 1 species